rnacentral:rRNA from 1 species
AGUGAACGCUGGCGGCAGGCCUAACACAUGCAAGUCGAACGGCAGCACAGUAAGAGCUUGCUCUUACGGGCGGCGAGUGGCGGACGGGUGAGGAAUACACCGGAAUCUACUUUUUCGUGGGGGAUAACGUAGGGAAACUUACGCUAAUACCGCAUAUGACCUCCGGGUGUAAGCAGGGGAACUUUGGACUUUGCGCGAUUGAAUGAGCCAAUUUAGGCUUAGCUAGUUGGCGGGGGAUAGGCACACCUCGGCGACGCUCCGUAGCUGGUCUGAGAGGGUGGUCAGCCAGACUGGAACAGAGACACAGUCCAGACUCCGACGGGAGGCAGCAGUGGAGAAUAUUAGGCGAGGGGCGCAAGCCUGAUCCAGCCAUACCGCGUGGAUGAAGAAGGCCUUCGGGUUGUAGAGCCCUUUUGUUGGGAAAGAAAAACAGCAGGUUAAUACCCCACGGUACUGACGGUACCCAAAGAAUAAGCACCGGCUAACUUCGUG